AUUGAACGCUGGCGGCAGGCCUAACACAUGCAAGUCGAACGAGUGGCGGACGGGUGAGUAAUGUCGGGGAAACUGCCUGAUGGAGGGGGAUAACAAAUGGAAACGGUAGCUAAUACCGCAUACCAUCAAAUGUGCCCAGAUGGGAUUAGGUUGUUGGUGGGGUAACGGCUCACCAAGGCGAGGAGCCCUAGCUGGUCUGAGAGGAUGACCAGCCAUGCUGGAACUGAGACACGGUCCAGACUCCGACGGGAGGCAGUAGUGGGGAAUAUUGCACAAUGGGCGCAAGCCUUAUGCAGCCAUGCCGCGUGUAUGACGAAGGCCUUCGGGUUGAAAAGUACUUUCAGCGGGGAGGCGUUACCCGCAGAAGAAGCACAGGCUAACUCCGUGCCAGCAGCCGCGGUAAUAC
rnacentral:rRNA from 1 species